rnacentral:lncRNA from 1 species
GUUCACCUCCCGACUAUAGGGCUCCCCGUAGAAAAGUAUAAACGUAAAUAGGGUUGACCGCUUCUAUCGGGGACCAUAUGUUAUCAAAAAUAUAUGAUUUUUCAACCAUAGCCGUAUUUCACCAUACCGAUGACAUCCGAUUUUUGAAAAUAUAGAUUCCUCCGUAUAGUUCGUUCACAAAAAUGUACACUUACAUAUAACCUAAUAAACAAAUUAUACCACAUUAGUAGGCACGUUGUGAUUCUAAUGGCUAAAUUUCACAAAAUUAAAAUUCAACCAUCUGAUAUGAUCAGCAUACUUAAAUACGGCAAAGGAAAAAAAUUCACCUUUUUUCAAUAACGUUUGUCUCUCGAUCGACGCGGUCAACCUUAAACUAACGUCACUUAUUACACAAAAACGUUCUUACCUACCCCUACAUGACCUAGUUUGGUUGAUUCUUCCACACAAAAAACUCUCACAUUGAUGAAUUGUAACCACCCAUGUAAAAAUUUAGGGACGUUCACCUCCCAGCGAUAGGGCUCUCCAUAAAGAAGCAUAGCGUAAAUAGGGUUGACCGCUUCUAUCGGGGACCAAACGUUACCGGAAAUAUAUGGUUUUUCAACCAUAGUUGUAUUUUACCAUACAGAUCACAUCUUAUUUCACAAUAUUUUUGAAAAUAUUGCUUCCUCUGUAUAGUUGGUUCACAAAAAUGUACACUUGCAUAUAACCUACUAAACAAGUUAUACCACAUUAGUAGGCACGUUGUGGUUUCAAUGGCUAAAUUUCACAAAAUUAAAAUUCAACUGUCUGAUAUGAUCAGAGUACUUAAAUACGGCAAAAGAAAAAAAUUCACCUUUUUUCGAUAACGUUUGUCUCUCGAUCCACGCGGUCAACCUUAAACUAACGUCACUUAUUACACAAAAACGCUCUUACCUACCCCUACAUGACUUAGUUUGGUUGAUUCUUCCACACAAAAAACUCUCACAUUGAUGAUAUGUAACCACCCAUAUAAAAAUUUAGGAACGUUCUCCUCCCGACGAUAGGGCUCUCCAUAUGAAAGCAUAGUGUAAAUAUGAUUGACCGUUUCUAUCAAGGACCAAACCUUACCGGAAAUAUGUGAUUUUUCAACCGUAGCUAUAUUUUACCUUACAGAUCACAUCCUAUUUCACAAGAUUUUGGAAAAUAUUGCUUCUUUCAUAUAGUUGGUUCACAAAAAUUUAAACUUGCAUAUAACCUACUAAACAAGUUAUACCACAUUAGUAGGCAUGUUGUGGUUCCAAUAGCUAAAUUUCACAAAAUAAAAAUUCUACCGUCUGAUAUGAUCAGCGUACUUAAAUACGGCUAUGAAAAAAAUUCACCAUUUUUCAAUAACGUUUGGCUCUCGAUCGACGCGGUUAACAUUAAACCAAUGUCACUUAUUACAAGAAAACGCUCUUACCUACCCCUACAUAACCUAGUUUGGUUGAUUCUUCUACAUACAAAACUGUCACAUUGAUGAUAUAUAACCAUCUAUGUAAAAAUUUAAGGACGUUCACCUCCCGACGAUAGGGCUCUCCAUACGGAAGCAUAGCGUAAAUAAGGUUGACCGUCUCUAUCGGGGACCAAACAUUACCAAAAAUAUGUGAUUUUUCAACCAUAGCUGUAUUUUACCAAACAGAUCACUUCCUAUUUCACAAGAUUUUUGAAAAUAUUUCUUCCUCCGUAUAGUUGGUUCACAAAAAUGUACACCUGUAUAUAACAUACUAAACAAGUUAUACCAUAUUAGUAGGCACAUUGUGGUUCUAAUGGCUAAAUUUCACAAAAUAAAAAUUCAACCGUUUGAUAUGAUCAUCGUACUUAAAUACGGCUAUGGAAAAAAAUUCACAUGUUUUUGAUAACAUUUGGCUCUCGAUCGACGCGAUCAACCUUAAACCAACGUCACUUAUUACACGAAAACGCUCUUACCUACCCUUAUAUGACCUUCCACACACAAAACUCUCACAUUGAUGAUAUGUAACCACCCAUGUAAAAAUUUAAAAACGUUCACCUCCCGACGAUAGGGCUCUUUAUAGGGAAACAUAAGCGUAAAUAGGGUUGACCGCUUCUAUCGGGGACCAAACAUUACCGGAAAUAUGUAAUUUUUCAAUCAUAGUUGUAUUUCACCAUACCGAUCACAUCUUAUUUCACAAGAUUUUUGAAAAUAUUGCUUCCUCUGUAUAGUUGGUUUAUAAAGAUGUACACUUGCAUAUAACUAACUAAACAAAUCAUACCACAUUAGUAGUCACGUGGUGGUUCCAAUGGCUAAAUUUCACAAAACCAAAAUUCAACCGUUUGAUAUGCUCAACGUAUUUAAAUACGACUACAGAAAAAAAUUCACUUGUUUUCGAUAAUGUUUGGCUCUCGGUCGACGCGGUCAACCUUAAACCGACGUCACUAAUUACACCAAAACGCUCUUAUAUACCCCUACAUUACCUAGUUUGAUUGAUUUUUCCACACACAAAACUCUCGCAUUGAUGGGAUGUAACUAUCUAUGUAAAAAUUUAGGCGCGUUCACCUCCCAACAAUAGGGCUCCCCAUAGGAAAACAUAAGCGUAAAUAGAGUUAACCGCUUCUAUCGGGGACCAAACGUUACCAAAAAUAUGUGAUUUUUCAACCAUAGUUGUAUUUCACCAUACAUAUCACAUCCUAUUUCACAAGAUUUUUGAAAAUAUUGCUUUUUCAGUAUUGUUGGUCCACAAAGAUGUACACUUGCAUAUAAUUUAUGAAACAAGUUAUACUACAUUAAUAUACACGUUAUGGUUCAAAUGGCUAAAUUUCACAAAAUAAAAAUUCAACCGUUUGAUAUGCUCAACGUACUUAAAUACGACUAUGGAAAAAAAUUCACUUGUUUUCGAUAACGUUUGGCUCUUGAUCAACGCGGUCAACCUUAAACCGACGUCAUUUAUUACACGAAAACGCUCUUACAUACCCUUAUAUGACCUAGUUUGGUUGAUUCAUUCACACACAAAACUGUCACAUUGAUGAUAUGUAACCACCCAUGUAAAAAUUUAGGAACGUUCAACUCUCGACGAUAGGGCUCUCCAUAUGAAAGUACAAGCAUAAAUAGGGUUGACCGCUUCUAUCACGGACCAAACGUUAUCGAAAAUAUGUGAUUUUUCAACCAUAGUUGUAUUUCACCAUACAGAUCACAUCUUAUUUACAAGAUUUUUGAAAAUAUUGCUUCCUCCGUAUAAUUGGUUCACAAAAAUGUACAUGGGAAUACAACCUACUAAACAAAUUAUACCACAUUAGUAGGUAUGUAGUGAUUCCGAUGGCUAAAUUUCACAAAAUUAAAAUUCAACUGUCUGAUAUGAUCAGCACACUUAAAUACAGCUAAGGAAAAAACGGUUGACCGAUUUUACCAAGAACUAAACGUAACCCGAAGUUUGUGAUUUUUCAACCCUAGCCGCAUUUUACUGUUACGGUCACAUCGUAUUUCACAGGAUUUUUAAAAUUUUUGCUUUCUACGUAUAGUUGGUUCAUAAUGAUGUACGGCUUAUAUAGAACCUACUAAUCAAGUUAUACAUCUUCAGUAAGCACAUGGCGAUCCGAGGUCAUAAAUAUGUGAAAACAAAAUUUCACCGUUAGAUAUGGUCACGGAAAUUAAAUACGUCCAUGGAAAAAAAUCCACCCCGUUUCGGAUUCGUUAUGCCCCCCAUCGAGUCAGUCAACCUUAUUUGGACCUUAUUUUUUACAUGAAACGCGAUGAACCGGCAUCGUGCGAAACCCUAAUUUUUCCUGUUUUCGAAACUAGAGCUCGUAUAUGUGAGAUUUAUGAACUCAUGAAAAAGUAUUGUUAAGUUGACCCUCCGGUGGUUACGCUCCCCUUAGAAGUGGCUAACCAUAAUUACGGUUGACCGAUUUUUCUAGGAACUAAAUAUUACUGGAAGUUUGUGAUUUUGCAACCCUAGCCGUAUUUUAUUGUUCCGGUCACACCCUAUUUCAUAGGAAAAAAUAGGUUUAUCUUUCUUUUCAAUCUAUAAAUUGAUCUAGCACCGUCAAAUUUCUUUUUCUACUAAAAAUCCAAGUCCCACCUGGUUGCGAUUCCUGGAUCAGCCCCAGUCAGCAAGAGUCAUGA